UGGCUCAGGACGAACGCUGGCGGCGUGCCUAACACAUGCAAGUCGAACGGGGAUUUGUUUCGGCAGAAUCCUAGUGGCGAACGGGUGAGUAACGCGUAGGCAACCUGCCCUCCGGCCGGGGACAACACUCCGAAAGGGGUGCUAAUACCGGAUACGAAGUCUGUGCCGCAUGGUACGGAUUUGAAAGAUGGCCUCUGUUUACAAGCUAUCGCCGGGGGAUGGGCCUGCGUCCGAUUAGCUGGUUGGUGGGUAACGGCCUACCAAGGCGACGAUCGGUAGCCGGUCUGAGAGGAUGAACGGCCACAUUGGGACUGAGACACGGCCCAGACUCCUACGGGAGGCAGCAGUGGGGAAUCUUCCGCAAUGGGCGCAAGCCUGACGGAGCAACGCCGCCGUGAGUGAGGAAGUUCUUCGGAACGUAAAGCUCUGUUGUUCCUGACGAACCUCCCCUCUAUCAACAACGGAGGGGACUGACGGUAGGGAACGAGGAAGCCACGGCUAACUACGUGCCAGCCGCGGC
rnacentral:rRNA from 1 species